GAAGUGAAUCACACUGAUGAGCUCGUUACAUCCACCUGUCAGUGGGUGGAGUAUAUAAGGCAGCAAGACAACAGGGUUCAGAGAAGGACGGAGGGUGAAGUGGUGACUUACUGACCAUGAGGUGGCAGUGGCCAGAGGAUCCUUUCUAUUGGCUACACAAACAAGAUGCUCCACAUCACCAACAAUGAGGAAACGCAUGCUUUACAUUUUCCCUCUUCAAGAACAAAAUGACACUACACCCCAUCUCCAAGCUGUGGGUGGAGUGCACCUGAGAAAGUCAACUCAGAACUUGGCAGGCAGCCCAGUGAACAGGACCUGAAGCUUUGUGGGCGCCGCACUAUAAACCUCCAGACAAUUCAGGUGUCUAAAUGUUGACUUGGAACUUCGCUGUGUGUGUAUACACGCACAUCAAGAAAUGCCAAGGGCUGAAAGAAGAGCUAGAAAAGAUGUGGAAGGUGAAGGCACAAGUGGUCCCUGUGGUAAUGGGAACAGUUGGGGCUGUGACCCCAACAGAUCCCAGGAACAUCUGAGAUGCUGCACAGGACCCUCAAGCUCCCAGGCCUCGAGGAAUAGAACACUGUCCCAAAGUGGGGGGGCAGUCAACCAGAUGUCAUUCUAUGGCCAGACCAUCAGCAACAUUCUUGUGGAUGUACAUGGAUACAGGUGAGUUUGUUUAUAAAUGGACAAUUUAUUAUUCAAAUCAAAGCAUUUUUAUUUUGCAGGCUCUUAUCCAGCUGCUGAUGUGCUUUUGGGUAAGAUGGGCAAAUCAAGGUAGUGUACCUCACAUCGUCUGCAGGUGCCUGGACAACAGUUGUGAAGACUUCUACCUUUGACCCCAAAACUUCAGCAGCAUGUGAAAAAGUGUACUCCAUAUGGGAGAUUAUUUCAAAGGCCCUGUGUUCAACACUCAUUCUUAUCAGGGCUUUUU